rfam:Bacteroidetes bacterium GWF2_33_16 gwf2_scaffold_19, whole genome shotgun sequence.
AUGGAGAAACCCCAAAAUCCAAAAAAAGAGUAGGGA